rnacentral:rRNA from 1 species
GAUGAACGCUGGCGGCGUGCCUAAUACAUGCAAGUCGAGCGAACAGACGAGGAGCUUGCUCCUCUGACGUUAGCGGCGGACGGGUGAGUAACACGUGGAUAACCUACCUAUAAGACUGGGAUAACUUCGGGAAACCGGAGCUAAUACCGGAUAAUAUAUUGAACCGCAUGGUUCAAUAGUGAAAGACGGUUUUGCUGUCACUUAUAGAUGGAUCCGCGCCGCAUUAGCUAGUUGUAAGGUAACGGCUUACCAAGGCGACGAUGCGUAGCCGACCUGAGAGGGUGAUCGGCCACACUGGAACUGAGACACGGUCCAGACUCCUACGGGAGGCAGCAGUAGGGAAUCUUCCGCAAUGGGCGAAAGCCUGACGGAGCAACGCCGCGUGAGUGAUGAAGGUCUUCGGAUCGUAAAACUCUGUUAUUAGGGAAGAACAAAUGUGUAAGUAACUAUGCACGUCUUGACGGUACCUAAUCAGAAAGCCACGGCUAACUACGUG